UGAAAUCUGACCGUUCGGCGGUCCGAGUUGUAAUUUGCAGAGGAUGCUUCGGGUGCGGCGCCGGUCUAAGUUCCUUGGAACAGGACGUCAUAGAGGGUGAGAGUCCCGUAUGUGACCGGCGACCCAGCCCGUGUGAAGCUCCUUCGACGAGUCGAGUUGUUUGGGAAUGCAGCUCUAAAUGGGUGGUAAAUUUCAUCUAAAGCUAAAUACCGGCCAGAGACCGAUAGCGCACAAGUAGAGUGAUCGAAAGAUGAAAAGCACUUUGGAAAGAGAGUUAAACAGUACGUGAAAUUGUUGAAAGGGAAGCGCUUGCGACCAGACUUGCUCCCGGGUGAUCAGCCGUCCUUCUGGGCGGUGCACUCGCCCGUGAUCAGGCCAGCAUCGGUUCAGGCGGCCGGAUAAAGGCCCCGGGAAUGUGGCUCCCCUCGGGGAGUGUUAUAGCCCGGGGCGCAAUGCGGCCCGCCGGGACCGAGGACCGCGCUUCGGCUAGGAUGCUGGCGUAAUGGUCGCAAGCGACCCGUCUUGAAACACGGACCAAGGAGUCUAACAUCUGUGCGAGUGUUUGGGUGUCAAACCCAUGCGCGGAAUGAAAGUGAACGGAGGUGGGAACCCUUCCGGGUGCACCAUCGACCGAUCCUGAUGUCUUCGGAUGGAUUUGAGUAAGAGCACGGCUGUUGGGACCCGAAAGAUGGUGAACUAUGCCUGAAUAGGGUGAAGCCAGAGGAAACUCUGGUGGAGGCUCGCAGCGGUUCUGACGUGCAAAUCGAUCGUCAAAUUUGGGUAUAGGGGCGAAAGACUAAUCGAACCAUCU
rnacentral:rRNA from 1 species